GACGAACGCUGGCGGCGUGCUUAACACAUGCAAGUCGACCGCUGAAGCUUGGUGCUUGCACUGGGUGGAUGAGUGGCGAACGGGUGAGUAAUACGUGAGUAACCUGCCCUUGACUCUGGGAUAAGCCUGGGAAACUGGGUCUAAUACUGGAUAUGACCUCCUGUCGCAUGGUGGGGGGUGGAAAGGGUUUGUACUGGUUGUGGAUGGGCUCACGGCCUAUCAGCUUGUUGGUGGGGUAAUGGCCUACCAAGGCGACGACGGGUAGCCGGCCUGAGAGGGUGACCGGCCACACUGGGACUGAGACACGGCCCAGACUCCUACGGGAGGCAGCAGUGGGGAAUAUUGCACAAUGGGCGCAAGCCUGAUGCAGCGACGCCGCGUGAGGGAUGACGGCCUUCGGGUUGUAAACCUCUUUCAGCACGGAAGAAGCGAAAGUGACGGUACGUGCAGAAGAAGCGCCGGCUAACUACGUGC
rnacentral:rRNA from 1 species